rnacentral:rRNA from 1 species
GACAUAGGUGGCGAACGUUAUCCGGAAUUAUUGGGCGUAAAGGGUGCGUAGGUGGUUUAACUAGUUAUCGGUGGGAAAUCGGGGCUCAACCUCGUGGAAGUCGGUAAUACUGUUAAACUAGAGGGUCGGAGAGGUUAACGGAAUGCUAUGUGUAGCGGUGAAAUGCGUAGAGAUCAGGAAGAACAUCGGUGGCGAAGGCGAUCUGCUGGACCAUAACUGACACUCAGGGACGAAAGCUAGGGGAGCGAAUGGG